rnacentral:tRNA from 1 species
GAAGGUAGAACUCAGUGGUAGAGCGCAUGCUUAGCGUGCAGGAGGUCCUGGGUUCAAUCCCCAGUGCCUCUA